rnacentral:rRNA from 1 species
GAUGAACGCUGGCGGCGUGCCUAAUACAUGCAAGUCGAGCGAACAGAUGAGGAGCUUGCUCCUCUGACGUUAGCGGCGGACGGGUGAGUAACACGUGGAUAACCUACCUAUAAGACUGGGAUAACUUCGGGAAACCGGAGCUAAUACCGGAUAAUAUAUUGAACCGCAUGGUUCAAUAGUGAAAGACGGUUUUGCUGUCACUUAUAGAUGGAUCCGCGCCGCAUUAGCUAGUUGGUAAGGUAACGGCUUACCAAGGCAACGAUGCGUAGCCGACCUGAGAGGGUGUUCGGCACACCUGGAACUGAGCCACGGUCCGAACUCCUACGGGAGGCAGCAGUAGGGAACCUUCCGCAAUGGGCGAAAGCCUGACGAAGCAACGCCGCGGGAGGGAUGAAGGUCUUCGGAUGGUAAACCGCUGUAAUUAGGGAGAACAAAUGUGUAAGUAACUAUGCACGUCUUGACGGUACCUAAUCAGAAAGCCACGGCUAACUACGUG